GAUGAACGCUGGCGGCGUGCCUAAUACAUGCAAGUCGAGCGAACAGAUGAGGAGCUUGCUCCUCUGACGUUAGCGGCGGACGGGUGAGUAACACGUGGAUAACCUACCUAUAAGACUGGGAUAACUUCGGGAAACCGGAGCUAAUACCGGAUAAUAUAUUGAACCGCAUGGUUCAAUAGUGAAAUACGGUUUUGCUGUCACUUAUAGAUGGAUCCGCGCCGCAUUAGCUAGUUGGUAAGGUAACGGCUUACCAAGGCGACGAUGCGUAGCCGACCUGAGAGGGUGAUCGGCCACACUGGAACUGAGACACGGUCCAGACUCCUACGGGAGGCAGCAGUAGGGAAUCUUCCGCAAUGGGCGAAAGCCUGACGGAGCAACGCCGCGUGAGUGAUGAAGGUCUUCGGAUCGUAAAACUCUGUUAUUAGGGAAGAACAAAUGUGUAAGUAACUAUGCACGUCUUGACGGUACCUAAUCAGAAAGCCACGGCUAACUACGUG
rnacentral:rRNA from 1 species